rnacentral:rRNA from 1 species
UACGUAGGGUGCGAGCGUUUAAUCGGAAUUACUGGGCGUAAAGCGUGCGCAGGCGGUUUUGUAAGACAGGCGUGAAAUCCCCGGGCUCAACCUGGGAAUUGCGCUUGUGACUGCAAGGCUAGAGUACGUCAGAGGGGGGUAGAAUUCCAGCGUGUAGCAGUGAAAUGCGUAGAGAUGUGGAGGAACACCGAUGGCGAAGGCAAUCCCCUGGGCCUGCACUGACGCUCCAUGCACGAAAGCGUGGGGAGCAAACAGG